CACCAGUGGCGAAGGCGAACUCUCUGGUCUGUAACUGACGCUGAGGAGCGAAAGCGUGGGGAGCGAACAGGAUUAGAUACCCUGGUAGUCCACGCCGUAAACGAUGAGUGCUAAGUGUUAGGGGGUUUCCGCCCCUUAGUGCUGCAGCUAACGCAUUAAGCACUCCGCCUGGGGAGUACGGUCGCAAGACUGAAACUCAAAGGAAUUGACGGGGGCCCGCACAAGCGGUGGAGCAUGUGGUUUAAUUCGAAGCAACGCGAAGAACCUUACCAGGUCUUGACAUCCUCUGACAAUCCUAGAGAUAGGACUUCCCCUUCGGGGGCAGAGUGACAGGUGGUGCAUGGUUGUCGUCAGCUCGUGUCGUGAGAUGUUGGGUUAAGUCCCGCAACGAGCGCAACCCUUGAUCUUAGUUGCCAGCAUUCAGUUGGGCACUCUAAGGUGACUGCCGGUGACAAACCGGAGGAAGGUGGGGGAUGACGUCAAAUCAUCAUGCCCCUUAUGACCUGGGCUACACACGUGCUACAAUGGACAGAACAAAGGGCAGCGAAACCGCGAGGUUAAGCCAAUCCCACAAAUCUGUUCUCAGUUCGGAUCGCAGUCUGCAACUCGACUGCGUGAAGCUGGAAUCGCUAGUAAU
rnacentral:rRNA from 1 species